rnacentral:rRNA from 1 species
AGUGAACGCUGGCGGUAUGCCUAACACAUGCAAGUCGAACGGCAACACAGUGAAAGCUUGCUCUUACUGGUGGCGAGGUGCGUACUGGUUAGGAAUACAUCCGAAUCUGCUGUUUCGUUGGUCGUAACGUAAGGAAACUUCGGCUAAUACCUCAUACUACAUGCGGGUUACCGCAAGGGAUCUUCCGACCUUACCCGCUUGAGUGAGCCGAUGUCGGAUUAGCUAGUUGGUGGGGUAAAGGCCCACCAAGGCAACGAUCUGUAGCUGGUCUGAGAGGACGACCAGCCACACUGGAACUGAGACACGGCCCAGACUCCUACGGGAGGCAGCAGUGGGGAAUUUUGGACAAUGGGCGCAAGCCUGAUCCAGCAAUGCCGCGUGCAGGAAGAAGGCCUUCGGGUUGUAAACUGCUUUUGUACGGAACGAAACGGCUCUGGUUAAUACCCGGGGCUAAUGACGGUACCGUAAGAAUAAGCACCGGCUAACUACGUG